rnacentral:rRNA from 1 species
AUUGAACGCUGGCGGCAUGCCUUACACAUGCAAGUCGAGCGGCAGCGCGGGGGCAACCCUGGCGGCGAGCGGCGGACGGGUGAGUAAUACAUCGGAACGUGUCCUUUCGUGGGGGAUAACCAGUCGAAAGACUGGCUAAUACCGCAUGAGAUCUCACGAUGAAAGCGGGGGACCGCAAGGCCUCGCGCGAUUGGAGCGGCCGAUGUCGGAUUAGCUAGUGGCGGGUAAAGCCCACCAAGGCUACGAUCCGUAGCUGGUUUGAGAGAACGACCAGCCACACUGGGACUGAGACACGGGCCCAGACUCCUACGGGAGGCAGCAGUGGGGAAUUUUGGACAAUGGGGGCAACCCUGAUCCAGCCAUGCCGCGUGUGUGAAGAAGGCCUGGUGUAAG